CAAAAUGCUGAGUUCCUAAUGAUAUUCCUUAGUAGUAGUAUUUUCCAAACUUAUCUGUAUUUUCAGCUAAUAGCUAGGACAUAUAUAAUUAAUUCUUUUUCCUUUUUCUUUUAGGCAGCUCAUUUUGAUACUUGAACUCUAUAAUCCCAACGAUGUGUACGACCACUUAAGACAUAUUGCACUAACACUCUGUGCAGAUAAAGUUUCUGAAGUCCGGUGGAUCUCCUUCAAACUGGCUGUAGCAAUACUGCAGAAGUUCUACGCGUACAAUGUGACCUCUCUGGGAUUAAAUUUCAUUAAUGAGUUGAUUAUGAGAUUCCGCCAUUGUUCCAAGUGGGUUGGUCGGCAAGCAUUUGCUUUCAUCUGCCAGGCAGUAGUUGAAGAAGAAUGCAUGCCUGUGGACCAGUUUGUUGAACACCUGUUGCCCAGCCUUCUAAGCCUGGCUUCUGAUCCUGUGCCAAAUGUACGGGUUUUGCUUGCCAAAGCAUUGAGGCAGACAUUAUUGGAGAAAGCAUAUUUUAGAAUUGUUGGGAACCCUCAUCUGGAUGCUGUGGAAGAGACUGUUUUGGUUCUCCAAGCAGAUAGGGAUCAAGACGUUUCGUUUUUUGCCACCAUCAAACCAAAACUCAGUAACAUGCAUAUCACGUUACUUGAAAAACAAAAUUAAUAUUUUUUGUGCAUGUAGUCUAUGAAAUUACUAUUCAGCUAACAAGUUCCUGCUAUGACUACUAACCAACAUGGUGGAAGAGGACUCUUAUCAAGGAAAUAAUGCAAUUCGCAAGAAA